GAAGGCGGGAGGGGGUUACCUGCGUGAGCAAGGGCGUCUGGAGGCCCAGAAUGGGGGAUGAGGCCCAUGGGGUGACACAGGGUUUUCAGGAUAGAUGGGUGAACCAAACAGGAACCCUGCCUUUCUCAGUGCCGUGUGUGUGCGUGUGUGUGCGUGUGUGUGUGUGCGCGUGCCUCUUCUGAACUCGCCUAGCAGGGCUGGGAUUUGGAAAAGGCUACUCCAAGUGGAGCCAGGAUGGUGUGUCUUCAGAGGCUGGAGCUGCCCUUUGCUGGGCCAGUUUCGCAGCACUGACUCAGCAAUUCCCAGGGACCCCUGGGGCAGGGACACUCUCCUCUCUGCGAGAAGGUCAACCACCAGGCACCAACCGGGAGCCGCAGGAGGCUGCUGUCACUCCUUGGCGGGUCAAGGUUGCAGGGAGGCCCAGGGCCUCCUAGCCCACCGCGUGGGGCCCUGGAGCCAGGAAGUCCCUGGAGAGGCGAAGGGAAGAGGACUGGAGGCAGGAGUCAGCCGCUCCCGCCCCCCAGCCUCCCCCCAGCCUGUGCUCAUCGCCUCCAGGGGACCACGCGGCAGGAAUGGGGGAGAAGACCUGGCUCGGCCCCAGGUGUGCUUGUCCGUUCCUUCAUCCUUUCAGUCAAGAAACGAUCGAGCCCCUGUGCCAGGUGCUGGGGUCCCCAGCGUAAGACAUGACCUCUUUGCCUUCAGCGUGCUCACCUCGAAAGGAGGAAGAUCAAGACGCUGGACCGAAUGUUCCCAACGGCCCCUUUUGUCCUGACUCAGCUGCGGUCUGGAGGAAGUGCUCGCAGGAGGACCGCGUUGAGGGCUGUUUGCACCAGGUCUAGUCCUGAAGGGUGGACUAACACCGUCAGUGAGGGCAGGUUUCCUGGAGACACUGUGUCCGUUCCCCAACUCUACUUGCACCCCCACACCCGACUUCAAGCCAGGCAGUUCUCCGGACCCAUUGCAGCCUACCUGGAAGUGCCUGGCAUGUAUUUGUCAUACUCACCUCCGGACUCAGCCCCUACCUGUCCCUCGUCCCUGCUACACCUCCCCCUCCCCCGCCCUCUCUGUGGGUUCAAAAGCCCUAGCAUGCCACCCCCCUUCCAUUCACGGGGCUGCUGCUAUUUCUGCCUCUUUGACAAGUUGUGACAUAUUUGGGAGCAGCUGCUGCCUGGGUGGAGAUGCCUUUGCUGCCCUCCCUCUCUGUUCUCUCCUCCCCAACCCCUUUCCCAGCAGCCACCCCUUCCCAGAAUGUGCCCCAAGACCCUCCCUGCAUUCCCUUCCUGGGCUCAGACACCCGCUUUCCCUAGGUUUCUGCAGGGUGGCCGAGGCUCGAGUCUGGUAGCCAUGGCUGGGGGUGGGAUCUCUUCUGCCACAUCCCAACCUGUGUGGUUUGACGCAAGUCUCUUCCUCCUGUGGGUUUCGGUUUUCAAUCUUUAAAAUGGGGGUGAUAGAUAACGUCUCCCCGACCAACCAUGAGUGACUGACCUCCUAAUAACUGUAGAGACCUGGGGGCUCUUCCAGUGCUAUUUAUAUCAUGACUCUGACAUCCUCUGGGGACUUUAUUCCAUUGUCCCUGCCCACUGACGUUUUCUAUGAGCCCAUAGACGCGUUGAAGUCUCUCCCAUCAAAAAAAUCCCUCCCUUUUUUAUAUAACCCCCUCAGCUAUGGCUCUGUCGCUAACCUUCCCUUCUUCACCUAAUUUCUAGAAGGAGGAGUUUACACUUACUCUUUCCACUUCCUUACUUCCCCUUCACUUGUCCACUUCAUUGUUUUCACUGUCCCUGGGUCACUAAAACUGGUCCUUCCACGAUCACCAGAGACCCCUCCCCUGGUGCCAACUCCAGGAGAUAUUUCUCAGUUUUAAUCUUACUUGACUGGUCUGUGUCAUCUGGCAAUGUUGAC